rnacentral:ncRNA from 1 species
UUCAGAAAAGACUAAAUUCGCCGCGAGGUGAAGACGGAAAGCUACGGAUCUUAUCCUUGAGAGGAGAAUAAGAUGGCCGGGUUGCCUGA